rnacentral:rRNA from 1 species
CCUACGGGGGGCAGCAGUGAGGAAUAUUGGUCAAUGGACGAGAGUCUGAACCAGCCAAGUAGCGUGAAGGAUGACUGCCCUAUGGGUUGUAAACUUCUUUUAUAUGGGAAUAAAAUGUUCCACGUGUGGGUUUUUGUAUGUACCAUAUGAAUAAGGAUCGGCUAACUCCGUGCCAGCAGCCGCGGUAAUACGGAGGAUCCGAGCGUUAUCCGGAUUUAUUGGGUUUAAAGGGUGCGUAGGCGGAGUGUUAAGUCAGUUGUGAAAGUGUGCGGCUCAACCGUAAAAUUGCAGUUGAAACUGGUAGGCUAGAGUACAGUAGAGGUAGGCGGAAUUCGUGGUGUAGCGGUGAAAUGCUUAGAUAUCACGAAGAACACCGAUUGCGAAGGCAGUUCACUGAACUGCAACUGACGCUGAGGCUCGAAAGUGUGGGUAUCAAACAGGAUUAGAUACCCGGGUAGUC